AUUUCCCCAUAUAUCUUCAGUAUGAAACAUACAAGGUGAUUCUGGAGGACGUCUUGUUGAACCAAGGAGAAAAAGCAAAGCAAUCGCACCUUGAUGAAUCUCCCGGGCCAACUGGGUCAUCUGUUUGGACUGACAGAGCAAAAGGGCAGGGGGAUUAGUCACUUAUUAAGCAGGAGAGCUUGCUCUUUAAUCACUUGCUAUUGGGGAGGAGUUGGAGGAUGUUGCCUUGCACUGUUUCUCACCAUGUCCUGAAUAUGGGAGCCCUGCGAAAACACACUGGGUCACAUCUUGGAACUGGGUACCUCCAUCUUGGCCUCUCAGCAUAUAACAUCAAGUGUGCUUCUGAUUGGUCCUUCUGCAAGUCCAUUUCUCCCACAUAUACCCCUGGUUGCAUCUGGAGAAGGUUUCAAGUGCUCAAAAGCAGCUCAUUACCAAGAAGAACAAAAUAAUAGUUGUGGUACUUCAGGGAAUUAAGAAACCCCACCAUUCAAGUAAACGCAAUGGCAGGCCUGAUAUUGUCGUAAUUGGGUGCAAUGAGGAUAGUUUUGUUGCCAAUUAGUGUUAUAACACACAGUGACUAUAUAUGUUAUACAGUAUAUAGUUUCUCCACAAGCAAACACCAAGGAGGCCUUAUUUCUGGCACAAACAGUGCAGGCCACCACCAACUUUUUGGUGUCUAUUCACGCCGAGGGCCACCAGAACUGCUGAAAGAGGAGGAACCAGGUGCGUUUGAAAUCAGGAUGACAGGCGAUCUUGGCAUAGUGAGCCCAUUCCAAAACUUCAGGGCGAGGACACAAACACACACAAACCCCUCAAGGCACCUGUCUGAAAUGGGAAGCAUCUUACGAGCAUCAGCCAUGUGUCCAAUUCCCACUGAAGACCUCCCAUGAUACAAGACCCCGGUAGGAUGAGAACCACAGGAGCAUCAGGACAGGGCAUCAGGUUUCUUACUACGGGACCCCGGCCGGAAGGUGAGUGUGAAGUUGAACCGGGUGAGGAACAGUGCCCAGCGUGCUUGGCAAGAACUGAGUCGGUGUGCAGAGCGGAUGUAGGCCAAGUUCGACAAAACGACAAACAGAGGCGUCAAGCCCUCCCGCCAGCGCCUCCACUCCUGCACAGCUAGAACCACAGCCAGAAGUUCCCGAUUGCCAAUGUCGUAUCGGGUUUCUAGUCAAGCGACAGGAGAAGGGUUGAGCCAAAACAGGUGAAGAAGUAAACAACUCUUUGACCGUAACAUAUUCCUUGCAGCAUCCUUAGAACACAAAAAGGGCAUUUCAACAAUAACCCUGAAAUUGCACACGAAACAACGAUAAAUGCUGGCGAAACCCCAAAAAAACUUUAAGGCCUUGCGGGAAGUGGGCAUAGGGUACUUAACUGCCUGAACCUUUUUUGGAUCCGGAAACAACUGACCCUUCUUGACAAUAUACAUGUUUCUGGUGAGCGUCCAAAGAAGGAGAAAAAAAUCUAAAGAUAUACGAAUCUAAACAUAAAAGAAAACAAAAUGAUUGAGCAUCCAUUUUCUAUGCCGCUUCUUCUCAUUAGGGUCGCGUGGGUAUGCUGGAGCCUAUCCCAGCUGACUUUGGGCGACAGGCGGGGUACACCCCGGACUGGUCGCCAGCCAAUCGCAGAAAAUGACUGAGCAUAUCUUGCAAAAUGUCAUUGAUAAGGCCCUGAAAUAUGGCCAGGGUGUUGUUGAGACACAUUUGCGUAUAUAAACCAGAUGGUAGGCAUUGUGGACAUCUAAGAUAGAAAAAACAGCUUUGUCAUUGAGCAGGGUAAACGCCGUGUCAAGAAAUGGUAAGGGAUACUUGCUCUUAGCCGUGAUCUUAUAGAACUCCCGGUAGUCAAUACACAGACUUAAAGACUUGCCUUUCUUUUCAACAAAAAAUACAAAACUCUCACCAAGUAUGGACGACAAGGGACGAAUAAGGCCUGAGGCUAGCGACGUGGAAAUAUAUUCCUCUCGAGACUUUUGUUCCGGCAAAGAGAUGUUAUACAGCCGCGAGCUGGGGAGUGGCGCACCCGGGAGUAGCUCGAAUGCACUAUCAUAAGGUCGGUGCGGGGGAAGGGAAAGCACAAGAUCUUUACGGAACACUUAUUUAAGAUGAUGAUACAAGCACGACACAGACGACAAAUCAAUAUCCUCAUCCGUCUGCAACAAGGAUACCCGAAAAGACGUGGGGGCGGAAAGUAAACAAAGAGCAUUGAAAGCAGUGAUCCAAUUCUUGAUCUUAAAGUUAGCCCAGUCAAAUCAUCGGGUCAUGGCGGCGAAGGCAGGUACGACUGAACACAAUGUCUGUGGCGCAAGGAGGCAAAACCAUGGACUCGAUAUGGUUACCAGACAGUGAAAGUCGAAGCAAAUCAGUUUGAUGCGAGACAGUCGCCAGACGACGCCCGUCGAGGGAGUGGACAACCACAGACUUGAUAAGUGGCAGGAUGGGGCUCUUAUUUUCUUUAGCAAAGUUCUCAAUAACUUUUAAGAGAGUAGUAACAUGCCAAAGAGGAUACCUUGAAUUUGUAGUCUCUCAGGUUUGGAGUUCGAAAAGACGCUUCCCACCAGGUGAAGUCCCACAGCUGCAGACCACUGGAAACAAGGACAAACCAGACACCCCAACAGGCAACUGCCACCGAGCUGCAUGGGCUUCUUUUCCUCCAAGGUGAAUCCGCUUGACCCCCACGGCGAGUGGAGGAUGGGACGCUGCAGUCGAUUGGACGCAGGGGCUUGAGUCGGAGAGCGGCAGCAGGCUCCCCACGCUCUCGGAGGCAGGAAUCAAUCCGAAUAGCCAGCUUGAUCAGUAAAAUCCUCACCAGAUGAGGACCCUAGGGUCCAAGCUGGAGCAGAAACAGCACAACGCCUCCUGGUCCAAUCUACUCUCAGCGGACAGAGUGUGGAAAUUGGCUGAGUAGUCAGCAACAGAAAACCUUCUUUAGGUUUAAACGGUCUACACCAAGCAGCUCUCCCCUUAAGUGGGUGGUCAAAAACCUGACGUAAUUAAGCCCAAAAAAGUCUGAGGAAACUAAUAUGUUCAGGUCGUCUUUCAGAGAUAGCAAUAACCCAGCUGGUGGCGCCACAAGAUAAUAUGCUCAUCAUAUUGGCUACUUAAGCACUAUCAGAGUUAUACUAAUUAUACAGAAUAAUACUGAUUAAACGCAUGACGACAAAAAUGUAUGAAUUGGCCACAAGAGCCAGGCUCACCCCCAUGCCUGGUAGAGUGUGGUAGAUUGGGUUCUUUGUGUGGUGAUGGCGGGGAUGUCGAUUCUGCCGGAACAAAGAUGGUGGAGUUGGAGGUGGUUACUCCGGCGGAUGAUGUCAGCUGUGCUUGGAGGGACCUCACGAAGUUGCCAAUAGACUCCAUGUUGGACGAGAGUGAUUGAAACACCUCUGGAAAGUUAUUCAGUGUUUGAUCAUGAUUGUUCAAGCGUGUUCCAUGCGGAACCAACGCUUUUUUAAAUCUUCCAGCUCGGCGAGAUUUGUAUUUUUGGUCAGAGUAUUCUGUUACGUUCAAAUGGAGAGUGAAACGUAAACCCUGGAAGCAGAGACUGGAGUCAAAGGUCAAAGUUCAAAUAGUUAUUUAAUAACACAAAUGGUAAUCAACAGUGAGGAGGUAGGAGAGAACAAAAAGAGCCCCGUGAUUAAAUGAAAACAAGAAAAGCAAAACUGACAAAAAUACAAAGUACAACAAGCAGGAGCAGAAAAUAACCACAACAAAAAGCCACAGUAGGACUUAAACAAAGAUAAAGCUUACAAACUUAAAAACAGGACGGCCAGGACAGGACAUGAAAACAGGACAUAUCUUGGGUAAACAGGACAUUUGGUCGCCCUCGUCAUUGCAGCUGCAACUAGUCGAUGUGUUGUAAUGUAAACGUUGAGUCAAAAUCUGAGAAGGCGUUCACAGAAGUGGGCUGUACGAACCUCUGUCCGAGUCAUAUAAUGACCAAUCGUAGUCUCUAGUCAAGGUGCACAAGGUUAGAUUUUUUUCAAGCUACUCAGCAGGGUUUGCAGUGGGAGGAGCGAACUGGUGUAGUGGAUGCUGGUGCUUCCACACAGGAGCAUACGUAAUCCAGGUUUCAGAGAACUCAAAACUGAAACCAACGAAAUGCAGCAAAGUGCAUACCUGGAAAGCAACCAAGCGUACAAGCAUAUUCAGGAGUUAUAAUGCGUGCAGAGUACGAAAAAUGCGUGUACAGAGGGUAUAGACAUUGACAUAUGAUAUGUAAGACAAACAUUUCCCAUUUUUGCUGUUUUUUUUUACGUUACGUUUUAUUUCUACAAUAUGUCAUGGGCCUAUAAAAAGCAAGUUAUGUGUUGCAAAUGGCCUCUGGGCCGAACUGUGAACACGCCUGCAUUUAUAGCUCUUUGUCAGGGUUGAGUGCGUGACGUGACGUCAACUCUGUGAACAACCACAACUCUCAUCAACUACCGUAAUCUCUGGACUAUUGAGCGCACCUGAAUACAAACCACACCCACUAAAUUUAAAGAGAAAAACGAUUUGUACAUGUAAAUAUAUAUAUACUGUAUAUAUAUAUAUCUGCUGUACCUGUCUAUAAGACACAGGUGUCCACAUCGUAAAAUGGGAUAUUUGGUACACAUUUGGUACCAGAAGAGUCGCCUCUUCAUCCUCCUCCUUCUGCACUUAAACCACUUAACUUGUCUUCUUCAGUGUCGGAACCGACACACCCUGCCACCGCUGCCCUGAGGCAAAUCAGCCCCCGAGCCUGUCCUGUCCUCCCCAGGUCUCAGCAGUCCAGCCCCCCAAAACCCGCCGGCGACAGUGAACCUCCCGACACCACACCACACUUCCAAGAUCCUACGGUCACAUGCAUCGCUCCACACAUUCUCCAUGAUGAGGGUGCGCACACCAAGUGCAAAAUGAGUGCUCCAGAGCACACAAGAUGUUGUGAGACGAGAAUACGACCACAAAUUAUCUGCAUCACUGUAUACGCCGCAGGGUUCAAAGUGUGAGACAAAAGUAGUGGCUUAGACACCGGUAUUUAGCUUGUUAGCUUCCUUUCAUGAUGGUAGUUAAAGAAUGCUAUUGCAGCUGGAACUAAUCAAUACAGUGCAACAGUUAUUUUCUUGCAAAAUAGAGAAGGUAUUAACGGUGGUGGGCUAUCUGAACCUCUGAACAAGUUGUACACACACAAGAAAUUAGGCAAGAGGGUUUGCAGAGGAAGGUGAGAGCAGGUGUAGUGUACGCUGGCGCUUUGACACAGGAGCAUAAUCUGGGUUUCAGGCUCGAAAGGAAACCAGCGAAAUGCAACAAAAUGCGUACCUUGAGAGCAGGAAAGCAUCCAAACGUAUUCAUGGAUACGAAAAAUGCAUAUGUGUGGCAGGUCUGCAAAUACAAACAUGUUAUAGACAAGGUGUAUUUUAAAAACUUUUGCGCUUUUGAUAAACAAAUCCCCCCUGAAGUGUAUGUGAGGCGCCGUGUGUGGCUGACUCGUAUCUCGUCACUGAGUCACUCAGGUUGCGCGCAGUUUGGGCAUGCACAUUACUGAAACUUUAUCCUGCUGGCACUUUAAACCUUCAAAACAGAUUUUUCUGUGAAACUAAAACCAGAAAGCGAGUGCGGACUUGUUGCAGGAUGACUCACUCAAGCUCAAGCUCACCUGCCAUCGACCUUGACAUUUUGCUCGAAUCCACUCUCCUGAGGUGUGUUUCUGAAAAUGUCAGAAAAUUAAGAAAGCAUUUUCUUGCAAGUUACAAACAGAGCGGGAAACCACGGCCUGAUGGCGUGUUUUCUACUGAUUGCGCUGUGACAGCUUCCCUCUCGUGGAAGCUCGUCAGAGGUAAGGACAUCAAAGUACAGGUGGGGAGUUAGUAACAUGGGGGCUGAGCAGGAUGAAGGGAUCGCAUCACCUUAAAUAAAAGGCCAGGCUUCCCACGCAGGCUAAAACAAGACCACUGCAUUUCUAAGGCACAGAUAUCUGUCACCUGUUACGCGAUGACCUUCAAAAGGUCUUGUUUUAUCUCAUGUCUACAAAGUGUCUGGUAGUCCGAGUGUGGCGAGGUUGCGUGCCGUAUGCAAAAGCGCACUAUGUCGAGGCCGAUGUGAUACAUCUUGGUUUAGUUUUUUAUUGUCUGUGUACAGCCGAUAAGAUAACUCAACACAGCCAAAUCGAAAGCCGCCAGUCUAGAAUAAUCCAAGCGUGGUGUCGCAAUGCAUGAGUUUAUACCUUACACUCACUUUAGCCUGCUCUUGCUCUGUGUUCUUACUGACACUAUAUUCAAAAGCUUUUGAGCCUCGACAAAAGCAACCACCACACAGAAAGGAUAAGCGUAGAGCUGCAUGUAACCAGAACUGAUCCUUCGGCAUUUUGAGAUGUUCUUCUUCAUAAAGCAGCCUGCGAGAUACAGCUGUUCAUGCCUCUGACUUAAAAGACACUGUUUUAUGUUUCGAUGCUCUGACAAAUGUUGGGCUCCCUCGGAAUUAUUCAUGUUUCAGCGUCAGUGGCUCUGUAAUGAAAUGGAUUACUGUGAAGUUUUUCCCUGCCAAUUACAAGAUUUCCUCCUCAUUUUUUAAGAAAAUGCUUACAUGCCAAGAAAAAAGUAUUAGCACUAAGAGUGAAAGGUGGUGACGCAUGACUAUUCCCCUACAGCCUUUUUUCUCUUUUCAUUUGAGGUGACAAUAUGAAGGGGUCGGAGCAACCCGAAUUAAACUGCAGCAGUUUUAGGUAAAAAAUAUAAAUAUUUAUGGGUAGAACAAAUGAAAGAACUUAAAGAAAUGACAUCAGUAGGACUGUAUGUUGCGCCGUCUGCCAUACAGCACCACAGAAAGCACCUGUCUGAAAUAAAAACUAGCAUUGUGUUACAACCCCGGCACCAGUGUGGUAUUAAAGUCUAUUACCCUCUGGAGGCAAAUGAUAUUGGAAGUCUAACCAAAGAUUAUAGAACCAUAAAUGUUAUCCUAGACCAGGGAUGUCCAAUUUUUUUCCACCGACGGCCACGUAGUGAAAAAUGAAAGGAUGCAAGGGCCACUUUGAUAUUAGAAAGUUGGAGACCCCUGCAACCUGGACACUCAGUUUAUUCUGUUUUAAGGUAUAUUAAACAUUUCUAUUUAAAAAAGAUAUUUAUUUGUAUUAUUUUAUUCUGUUCAUUUUGUUAUCUUGAGCUAAAAAAUAAUGAUUGAACAAUUUAUUUUCCAUGUAUUCACAUUACUAUAAAACAUGCAUCAAAUUAAAUUCAAGUUUGUGUCAAAUUGUAAAAAAAUCAAAUAGUACAAAAAAACAAUCCGCCCAAAUGUUUAUUUUUUUUAAAUUACCUAUUUGCCAGGGGCCGUUGUAAUUGUGUAACAGGACCCCUGACCAAUACCACUCACCAUAAAUAAAUUGAAAAAUGUUCAGUUAAUCCAUGUGAUCGGUGUCGGCUGAUCGGUAUCGUAUCGUCAGCAAAAAACCCUGAUAAAAGCAUCCCUAAUUAUUACUAUAUAAGCGUGUAGUAAGCGUAUCAAAUGAAAAAACAUAGGCUAGGAAUGUGUGUCAGUCUAUAUUAUGUCUUACUUAGGUCUUACAUGUGCUACUGUGUCUUAUUAUGUCUACCUGUAUUACAGGUGUAAAUGUGAUUAUAGGGAUGUUAUUUCAUGUCUACGGGCCCUAACAAUGUUUAAAAAUGUAUUUAGAAUGUUGUAAACAACAGCUACGAAAAUAUUCUGUUUCUAAAUAAGGAACCCUACGUUCUGGAAAUUCACUUACAGAUGGCCAAAAACAUUGGCAUCUUUGGUUUGCCAACGUUUGGGCAUACCAUGACUGUACCACGGUUGGGAAGACUGUACUGCCAAUGAAGUUUGUCAUUGUGGCUUCAGGACUUCUUACAAUAUCCCAUUGUCAUGAAAGGAAUACACAAUAUGUAUUCUUUAUUCUGUUUAAUCAUGCCCAUUUUUCAAAUAAGAAAUGUAGUUUUCAGAAAUAAAAAAAGGAAUAAUUCAUUUUGGUAUUUAAGUUGUAUUUUGAAGAUAUUUGAGUUCAGUGCCUGGCCCCGAACAAUCAAAUCGUGGUCUCCAGUGAAGGAACUCAUCUGUCAUUGUCUCAUAGUCCAUUAUAGUUUCCCCACUGGUCCUCCCCCAUUCCACUAACAGCAUGUCAUCAGGACGUCAUUGAGCAUUAUGCUAUUCUAGUUGUCACCAAUUUUGUUCCCCUCGUCUCUUUAUUAUAGACUUCCAUCUCCAAUUGUUUUCGUGCUGUAGACUAAACUUGAACAGUGGAGGCAGUUUCUGUAGAAAAUGCGUGUGAAUGCUGACGCUGAACUCAAAAGGCUGUUGAAAUGUAGCAUGAAUAUAUGAAUUUAUGAUUGAACUCAUG